rnacentral:tRNA from 1 species
GGCGGCAUGCUUCCUCGAUUGUAGAAUUGAUUUGUAAUCAGUAGGUCCCGAGUUCGACUCUUGGUGCCGGCACCA